rnacentral:rRNA from 1 species
GCAGCAGGCGCGAAACUUACCCACUCGAGACUUUCGGAGGAGGUAAUGACCAGUUUCAUGUGAAGCUUAUGCUUCUGUGAAUAGGAUCACACUUUUCCAGUGUGGUGAAACCUAGCAGAGGGCCAGUCUGGUGCCAGCAGCUGCGGUAAUUCCAGCUCUGCGAGUUUGCUCCCAUAUUGUUGCAGUUAAAACGCCCGUAGUCGGAAUUGGACAGCAAUGUCCCUACGUUUCAACGUUCACUGUGAACAAAUCAGGACGCUUAGAGUAUGGUAACAAGAAUGACUCAGCGCAGUACGAAGUCUUUGUUUCUUUCGGGAAACAAGCUCAAUGAGAGCCAUCGGGGGUGGAUCUAUUUCAUGGCGAGUGGUGGAAUACUUUGACCCAUGAGAGAGACACGGAGGCGAAGGCGUCCACCUAGAGGGUUUCUGUCGAUCAAGGGCGAGAGUAGGAGUAUCCAACCGGAUUAGAGACCCGGGUAGUUCCUACUGUAAACGAUGCCGACAGAGGUUUGUCAUUUUAUAAUGGCAGAACUUUUAGAGAAAUCAUAGUUCUUGGGCUCUGGGGGAACUACGACCGCAAGGCUGAAACUUGAAGGAAUUGACGGAAGGGCACACCAGGGGUGGAGCCUGUGGCUUAAUUUGAAUCAACACGGGGGAACUUACCAGGACCAGAUGUUUUUUAUGACUGACAGGCUUCGGGUCUUUCAGGAUAUUGCUUUUGGUGGUGCAUGGCCGUUGGUGGUGCGUGGGUUGACCUGUCUAGCGUUGAUUCAGCUAACGAGCGAGAUUAUCGCCAAUUAUAUACCUCGCAUUGGCUUCAGUGUUGAGGUUCUAAUUGGGACUCCCUGCGAUUUUAGCAGGCGGAAGAGGGUAGCAAUAACAGGUCCGUGAUGUCC